UAGUCUCAGUUCGGACUGUGGGCUGCAACCCGCCCACACGAAGUCGGAGUUGCUAGUAAUCCCGAAUCAGCAUGUCGGGGUGAAUGCGUUCCCGGGUCUUGUACACACCGCCCGUCACGCCAUGGGAGUCGGAAGUGCCCAAAGUCGGUGACCUAACCGCAAGGAAGGAGCCGCCUAAGGUAAUGCCGAUGACUGGGGUGAAGUCGUAACAAGGUAUC
rnacentral:rRNA from 1 species